rnacentral:rRNA from 1 species
UACGUAGGGUGCAAGCGUUGUCCGGAAUUAUUGGGCGUAAAGAGCUCGUAGGCGGUCUGUCGCGUCUGCUGUGAAAACCUGGGGCUUAACCCCGGGCCUGCAGUGGGUACGGGCAGACUAGAGUGUGGUAGGGGAGACUGGAAUUCCUGGUGUAGCGGUGAAAUGCGCAGAUAUCAGGAGGAACACCAAUAGCGAAGGCAGCUCGCUGGGACGGUACUGACGCUAAGGCGCGAAGGCGUGGGGAGCAAACAGG